UACGUAGGGGGCUAGCGUUGUCCGGAUUUAUUGGGCGUAAAGAGCGUGUAGGCGGCCAGGUAGGUCCGGUGUGAAAACUCGAGGCUUAACCUCGAGAUGUCAUCGGAAACCAUCUGGCUAGAGUCCGGAAGAGGAAAGUGGAAUUCCUGGUGUAGCGGUGAAAUGCGCAGAUAUCAGGAAGAACACCAAUGGCGAAAGCAGCUUUCUGGGACGGUACUGACGCUGAGACGCGAAAAGCGUGGGGGGAGCGAACAGG
rnacentral:rRNA from 1 species